rnacentral:misc_RNA from 1 species
AUGCACCGCAGGCCCGCUGCUGGAGGUGUCGUUGUGCUGCUCGACAGACUGAUCGUCCGCACCGACGGCGAGCACCUGCAGGUGCCACCCCAUCUAGGCACUGACUCGUUGGCGUGCCUCGUGCAGCGGACGAGCCAUUACCGGCACCGCGCCAUGCGGCUGUGGAAACUGCUGCGCACGUGUGUGCGCGGCGUACGGGCCCCACAGAGCCCGGCGACCGUGUCGGAGGAAGGUGGCGCAGCGCUCGGGGCGGCCGAUAUGAUGGAGCGCUGCGGCUGCCGCAGCUGCGUGGCCGGCUGCGUCCUCUCCGUGGUGGGUGAGGAACAGGGUCUGAUGAGGGGACGGUUCAUGCUGUGA